GGGGUGAUGGGGUGGUGUGGGGCACAUGGGGUGACAUGGGAAUAUGGAGUAUAUGGGGUGAUGUGGGGUAAUGUGGGGCACGUGGGGUGGCACUGAGAUGUGGGGCACACGGGGAUAUGGGGUGUAUGGGGUGAUGUGGGGAAACACACGGGUUGGCACUGGGAUGUGGGACGGGGGGUGGCGCUGGGAUUUGGGGCACAUGGGGUGACGUGGGGACCUGGGACGUGUGGGGUGGCACAGGGGAAUGGGGCACAUGGGGUGGCGCUGGGAUUUGGGGCACCAGGAGGCGAUGUGGGGACCAGGGAUGUGUGGGGUGGCACAUGGGGUGGCACUGGGGUUUGGGGCACAGGAGGUGACGUGGGGACCUGGGACUUGUGGGGUGGCACAGGGGAACGGGGCAUGUGGGGACCUGGGACCCACAGACAUGAGCACAGGGGGUGGCACAGGGGUUUGGGGCACAGGAGGUGACGUGGGGACCUGGGAUGUGUGGGGUGGCACAUGGGGUGGCACUGGGAUUUGCGGCACCAGGAGGUGAUGUGGGGACCUGGGACGUGUGGGGUGGCACAGGGGAACGAGGCAUGUGGGGACCUGGGACCCACAGACAUGGGCACAGGGGUUUGGGGCACAGGAGGUGACGUGGGGACCUGGGACGUGUGGGGUGGCACAUGGGGUGGCACUGGGAUCUGGGGCACCAGGAGGCGACAUGGGGACCAGGGAUGUGUGGGGCGGCACAGGGGUUUGGGGCACAUGGGGACCUGGACACGGGCACAUGGGGUGGCACAGGGAUUUGGGGCACAGGGGGUGACGUGGGGAUCUGGGACUUGCGGGGUGGCACAUGGGGUGGCACUGGGAUCUGGGACGCACUGGUUGCCACAUGGGGUGGUGCAGGGAUUUGGGGCACCAGGAGGUGGCAUGGGGACCUGGGACGUGUGGGGUGGCACAUGGGGUUUGGGGCACAGUGGGUGGCACUGGGAUUUGGAGCACCAGGAGGUGACGUGGGGAUCUGGGAUGUGUGGGGCGGCACAGGGAUCUGGGGCGCAUGGGGUGGCACAGGGGUUUGGGGCACAGGAGGUGACAUGGGGACCUGGGACGUGUGGGGUGGCACAUGGGGUGGCAACAGGGGUUUGGGGCACAGUGGGUGGCACUGGGAUCUGGGGCACAGGAGGUGAUGUGCGGACCAGGGAUGUGUGGGGUGGCACAUGGGGUGGCACUGGGAUCUGGGGCACCAGGAGGUGGGGAUGUGUGGGACGUGUGGGGUGGCACUGGGAAUGGGACACAUGGGGACCUGGACACGGGCACAUGGGGUGGCACAGGGAUCUGGGGCACCAGGAGGUGAUGUGGGGACCUGGGACGUGUGGGGUGGCACAUGGGAACGGGGCAUGUGGGGACCUGGGACCCACAGACAUGGGCACAUGGGGUGGCACAGGGUUUAGGGCACAGGAGGUGGCAUGGGGACCUGGGACGUGUGGGGUGGCACAUGGGGUGGCACAUGGGAACGGGGCACAGUGGGUGGCACUGGGAUCUGGGGCACAGGAGGUGACGUGGGGACCUGGGACGUGUGGGGUGGCACAGGGGUUUGGAGCACAGGAGGUGACAUGGGGACCUGGGACGUGUGGGGUGGCACAUGGGGUGGCGCUGGGAUCUGGGGCACCAGGAGGCGACGUGGGGACGUGGGACGUGUGGGCACGGUGACACGGGGUGGCACAGGGACGCGCUGGCGGCCACGAGGGGUGGCAGAGGGGCACAGCAACCCUCACGUGUUGUCCCC
ensembl:lncRNA